AAAUGAAAACUCGAAAUCAGCGAUAACACUAAAAGUAUUGGAAAUAUUUAAUUUUGCCAUUAGGAUUUCCUUUAGAACUCUUGAGGUGCUAAAUUUUCUAAGUCCCAAAGGAGGAAAAUUUUUACUGUUGGGAGUUCUGGGUAUCCCCUCAAGAGUUCUAUCGAAAACUAUUAAGGCUCGAAGCGCUACGACCGAUGAAUAAAAAGUUCUCGCGAUUUUUCAUACUUCGGUUC